UACAGGGGGGGCGAGCGUUGUUCGGAAUUAUUGGGCGUAAAGGGCGCGUAGGCGGUGCGGUAAGUCACCUGUGAAAUCUCCUGGCUCAACUGGGAGCUUGCAGGCGAAACUGCCGUGCUGGAGUGUGGGAGAGGUGCGUGGAAUUCCUGGUGUAGCGGUGAAAUGCGUAGAUAUCAGGAGGAACACCUGUGGCGAAAGCGGCGCACUGGACCACAACUGACGCUGAGGCGCGAAAGCUAGGGGAGCAAACAGG
rnacentral:rRNA from 1 species